rnacentral:rRNA from 1 species
AAAACUUUCAACAACGGAUCUCUUGGUUCUGGCAUCGAUGAAAAACGCAGCGAACUGCGAUAAGUAAUGCGAAUUGCAGAAUUCAGCGAGCCAUCGAAUCUUUGAACGCACAUUGCGCCCGCCAGCAUUCUGGCGGGCAUGCCUGUCCGAGCGUCAUUU